GGCUCUGCAGAAGACAGCAUCAAAGUCAUCGUUGAUAUUCCACCGAAACUGAAUCCUGACCUCAAGGAUCAGUCAGUGUCAGUGUACUUGCACUCCUUAUCAA